rnacentral:rRNA from 1 species
CAAUAGCGUAUAUUAAAGUUGUUGCAGUUAAAAAGUUCGUAGUUGGACCUUGGACCUGGACAGGCGGUCCGCCUCACGGCGAGUACUGUCUUGCUGGGUCCUUCCUCUUGGUGAUCUGUUGUUUCGGCAGCAGGGAACCAGGACCUUUACUUUGAAAAAAUUAGAGUGUUCAAAGCAGGCUCGACGCCGGAAUAUAUUAGCAUGGAAUAAUAAAAUAGGACGUGCGGUUCUAUUUUGUUGGUUUUUGGAAUCGCCGUAAUGAUUAAUAGGGACAGUCGGGGGCAUUAGUACUCACAUGCUAGGGGUGAAAUUCUUGGAUUUUGUGAAGACUAACUUCUGCGAAAGCAUUUGCCAAGGAUGUUUUCAUUAA